rnacentral:rRNA from 1 species
AUUGAACGCUGGCGGCAGGCCUAACACAUGCAAGUCGAACGAGUGGCGGACGGGUGAGUAAUGUCUGGGAAACUGCCCGAUGGAGGGGGAUAACUACUGGAAACGGUAGCUAAUACCGCAUACCAUCGGAUGUGCCCAGAUGGGAUUAGCUAGUAGGUGGGGUAAUGGCUCACCUAGGCGACGAUCCCUAGCUGGUCUGAGAGGAUGACAAGCAACACGGGAACGGAAACAAGACACAGACUCCUACGGGAGGCGACGGUGGGGAAUAUUGCACAAUGGAAGCAAGCCUGAUGCGACCAUGCCACGUGUAUGAAAAGGGCCGUCGGGUUGUAAAGUACUUUCAGCGAGGAGGCGUUACUCGAAGAAGAAGCACCGGCUAACUCCGUGCCAGCAGCCGCGGUAAUUC